rnacentral:rRNA from 1 species
CCUACGGGGGGCUGCAGUGGGGAAUUUUGGACAAUGGGGGCAACCCUGAUCCAGCCAUGCCGCGUGAGUGAAGAAGGCCUUCGGGUUGUAAAGCUCUUUCGGCCGGGAAGAAAUCGCUCAAGCUAAUACCUUGGGUGGAUGACGGUACCGGAAGAAGAAGCACCGGCUAACUACGUGCCAGCAGCCGCGGUAAUACGUAGGGUGCGAGCGGGGCGCGGAAUUUGUGGAGGCAAAGCGUGCGGACGCGGGUGAAAUCCCCGGGCGUAACCUGGGAACUGCGUUUGUGACUGUGGUGCUCGAGUGCGGCAGAGGAGGGUGGAAUUCCACGUGUAGCAGUGAAAUGCGUAGAGAUGUGGAGGAACACCGAUGGCGAAGGCAGCCCCCUGGGUCGACACUGACGCUCAUGCACGAAAGCGUGGGGAGCAAACAGGAUUAGAUACCCGAGUAGUC